AUUUUCUGGGCUGGUCUCCAACAUCCCCUUCUCGAUUUAACCUACGUCCAUUUCUUAAUGUUUCGAUUAUCCCCACCAAAAGCCCUUACCGAACUUGAUCCUCGUUCCAGCAAGAUCUCUAUUUCAACGUGACUUUGUAUGAUGGAGAAGGAUCCAAAAGCGGGCAACGAACAUCCAGAGGUCGAUUUGUAGUGUGCUUUGACGACGGGUUGGAAGAUUUCGGGUUUUAUUAAGGUAUUUUUUUUCCCUUCAUAAUCCUACCAGCAAAAUCUCUGGUGGGGAGAAAUUAUUAGUAUGUGUACCACUGUGGAAAGCUUGAAAAAAGAGAACUAUUUUGAUUAUUUGGUUGUUUCUCGGAUACAGAAAUAUUUUUCCGCUUUAUGACAUUUCAUAGUUGGCUUUUGACUUGCUGGCUGAUAAGAGAAGAAGUGGGUAUCCUGACAAGUGCGGGUGGAUGGGUUUUUGGUUGAAUGUUAUGUAGCAUGAAUAUAUGCACUAUAUAAUGCAGUGGUAUUAGCCUAAGCUUUCUUC